rnacentral:rRNA from 1 species
UGGCGGCGUGCUUAACACAUGCAAGUCGAACGGGAAGACAUGAAGAGCUUGCUCUUUAUGAAAUCCAGUGGCAAACGGGUGAGUAACACGUAAACAACCUGCCUUCAGGAUGGGGACAACAGACGGAAACGACUGCUAAUACCGAAUACGAUUCUUGAGUCGCAUGACACAAGAAAGAAAGGGUGGCCUCUACAAGUAAGCUAUCGCCUGAAGAGGGGUUUGCGUCCGAUUAGGUAGUUGGUGAGGUAACGGCCCACCAAGCCGACGAUCGGUAGCCGGUCUGAGAGGAUGAACGGCCACAUUGGAACUGAGACACGGUCCAGACUCCUACGGGAGGCAGCAGUGGGGAAUCUUCCGCAAUGGGCGAAAGCCUGACGGAGCAACGCCGCGUGAGUGAAGACGGCCUUCGGGUUGUAAAACUCUGUGAUUCGGGACGAAAGAUAAGUAGACGAAUAAUCUGCAUAAGUGACGGUACCGAAAAAGCAAGCCACGGCUAACUACGUGCCAGCCGCCGCGGUAA